rnacentral:lncRNA from 1 species
GUCACUUGAUUGCUUUUCCUGAACUGGUGUGAAACCUGUAUCUCAAAUAAUAAGGUAUUUAAUGGAAUGUGUUCUUGCUAAUUGAUGGAAGCUAUUGAAUUAGAGAAUUAAACGGGUGAGGUUAGCAUAGAAAGAAAAAUAAGAAUGAACUCGUGUUUGGAAGCAAAAAGGCAAAUUAAAAAUGUAAUAUGAUCAAUUCUUCACUUGAAGUAAUUUCUGUAAAUUUUCAUCUCGUACUACUAAAUCUUAUUCUGAUUGUUAAUAUAAGCUGUGAUAAUUUGAAUAUGAAUUGUGUUUAAAUGACCGAUUACCUCAGCAUAAGGUGUAACCAGAAGACUACUAAGAGCAUGCUAGAGAAGCAAGAAUACUAAAAUAAUCUCCAAUGGUACUUUGAAUUGUGCAGUAAUCCAGUGAUUACCAUGAAGCACACCAAAAUGGUAACCCCCUCUGUGAUAGGCUUCGAAUUAGCAAUGAAGUACUAGAUAAGAUUAGCUUGGUAAGCCAUGAUUUUAAAAUUAAAGAAUAAGACAUGUCAAUACUUAAAAGAUUUUCUGCUAUGGAAAAUGCUCCUGUAACAGGGAAGCUGACCGCCUCCCUGACAGGAGCCCCACAAAUGGGGGUGGGGCCCGCAAAAAAACAUGGGCACUCCCCCCUAUUUGUGGGGUUCGGUCAGGGGGCGGUCAGCCCCCUGUUCUUGUAGCACGCCCCUUCUGUUAUUGGGGCAACAUUCAAAACUGUGUUGAUUUAUAAAUUAGCACCAUAGAUUUUUCCCAACAUCCACCAAAUUCUUAGUCCUUGACAAGGAAAUCCAAGACAAUCAUAAUCAGUAGGUAGGCAAACACCUAAAAAUAUUUCACAAGAUCUUCUUUCCUCCCAAACCACCAAGAAAAAAUGUGAUCGUUACAAGACCUUGACAUUGCUUUGUUUGAAUUCUGAAGUAAAUAUAGGGAAGCAUAUAAUGCAAAGCAACCUUAAUCUUUUAACGACAAGAAUAAGAAUUUGUACCCAUGCCAACAGAAUUAAUUGGUUAUUCAAUAUCUUUCUUUGCUUAUUUUCCAUAGAUUUAUUUGGGGAAUGUCAACUGGGAGGGUUAAAUUGCAUGAAUAGUAUGAGAAUACAUAUAAAGAAACAGUUUAUGCUACAAAAAUUAUAAGUAAACUUAAUUAAACUACAGUGGCUAAGCAUAUAGUGAUCAGAAAUUACCGCGACAGUUGAAGUAAAUUAAAAUAAAAUAAAAAUGAUUUUCAGGGCAAUGCUGUCGAUAAAAAUAGUCACAAACAAAAUCCAUUUGAACAGUGAACUCAUAACAUUAUUCCCAGUAUGCAUUACAUGGACUACAAAACUCACCUAUCAAGAAAAUGGAAAUAUAGAGUUAAGAAGAAGAACCAAACCUGUACACAUGAUGCUCCACGAAUCAACCUCAUACAUGAAGUAUGCAUGAUAACGCUGUCAAUCAAAUAGAAACAAGAAAAAUGAACACAGAGAAUGACACUAAGAUGCAACAACCCUUCCAAUGUCCAAUUAUGAUAGUGAAUCAAACCAAUUCAAACCGAGCUUAAUAUAAUCUUAGGCCACACUGAAUUUUAGACUAAAGAAUAAAUUGAAAUCGAAGCCAAAAAUGAGCCAUAAUAGGUAGGCUUAUAUAAGGCUAGUGCUCAUAUCAGAUAAGGUCAACGUUAUAAAUUUAUACCAAUAUUUUUUUUUAAUAAUCUAAGUUAUUCACAUCUUAACAUGUGAAAUUAUAAAGACAUAAAAGUGAAAAUUUAUACUUACCACUCAGGUUUUGGCUUCAUUUUGUUGGGAAACAAGAUGCUGUCUACUAAUAUGAAUUGGAAUUGAACUGAUUUUCAUUUUUUCAGAACAAAGAAUUCCCUUUCAACUUAGUGAAUUUUAGUUUUCUAUUGUAUUUCAUGUUUCAUAUAAAACUCGAUUGUACUUGUAAGUUAUAACAUAUUCAACAUUCAUGCAGUAUUUUUAAAAUGAAGGAUUUAUGUGUUUUAGGUUAAUGACCAAUUUGUGAGAGAAUCUAGCAUUACUCAUAAGUUCUCACGACUUCAGAAUGAGGGUGAACUAAGAAAAACUUAAUCCUUUGUCCUUGUUGACGCCUCUACUAUUCAUUAACUUUAGUCUCUUUUUUAUUUUUAUUUUUUCUGGCAAAGGAGGUCGUACACAAAGAAUUUAAUGUUUGACUAAAUAUGUGAUUUUGAUAUUCCCAUUAACUUUUCUUAGACGAUUAUUCACCAAAUUAUGAAUAUCGAGACAGAUAUUUCAAACAUCCUAGUGCAUCCUUCAUUCGUGUAUAAGGAAGGUAGUGAUAGUACUUUAUGGCAGUGCCCACAAAUGUUUAUAUCUCAAGAUCUGUUUAAAGUUCAGUAAUAUUAAUUUGCACACACCAGCUGAUCAACAUUCAUACACACGACCACAUUUGGAUGAGAGGAAAAUGUUGGAUAAGAGCUUGGGAUGCAUAAUUAAUCCAAUUAUGAGUAAGUUUGGUUCUAAUUAUGGUCUCAGAUUAUGCAGAGACCACCAAUUUUGCUUAAAAUCUUGCAACAUCAAUAGCACAGAAUUUAUCAUACCUUGCAAAAGAUUUGAUUUCAUUAGACAUAACAGUAAACGUACUGCUAUAUUGCUAAAUCUAAAACCCUAAAUGCAUUGAACAGUAUGAAAGAAGAAGGAUACCUAUAGGUAGCUACAUGUUCAUUGAGAAUAAAGUUUAGCUUAUGUUUUUGAUAAAUUCUUAUCUUGUCAACCAAGCAUUUCACAAUUUGUCUCUGAACAUCCAUGUGAUGCAACUUCAAGACAUUGAAAUGUGGUCAAAUUAGAUAUUUCUUUUGGAUUAUCAUAUUCAUGUUCUUAACUUCAAGACAUUGAAAUGUCAAGAAGAGUUCGAACUAUCUUAUUAUAUAUAUGUUUUCAGAGAGAGUUAUUGUACUAGGAAACAAAAUUUAUGUUGGAUUCCAUUUAAGACAUAUUACGACUAAGAACAUUAUUCAUAUUGUCAAUGCGACUUUUUGUACCCUGAAAUUCUUAACAAAUCCCUGUGAUUUGAUGUUGGAAAAGAAGUCACUGCCGUCCCUAGCGAUUUGACAACUUGACAUUUGACAUCUUUAUAAGUUUCUAGCAAUUUAUUUUUGUUGGACAACUUCUAUGCUAUAUCCCAGUUUUGCUCUACGAAUGGAUAAAGAGUGAGAGUUGGUAUACACGGUCUAUUGGAAUAAAGAGCAUGUUUUUUUGCUGGAGCAUUUGGAAGCUCAUAACAUCUUCUUUUGAGCGAAACAAUGGCAAAAUACUCCAUUCCACACUGAAUAUAUUUUUAUUUUGCUUAUGUAUUUUAUGUUUAGUUAUAUUAAUAAUGAAUAAUAUUAAAAAAAUGUAUAAAUAAAUAAAAACAUGGAAAUAUUUUAAUCCAUUUGCAAUAUCCACCUAGUUCUAGAAUUCCUUAACCAUUUGUAUGAGUGUUAUUGGACUAAGGUCACACCUCUCAUUGUGGGCAUUGAUUGUGCUAAAAUUAGAAAAUCUAAUUCUAUAACAUUGAUAUUUAUAUAAUCGUAGAAAGAAAAUGGACAUACAAGAAAAUGCAAAAUUUAUAAGUUCGCAUCAAUGUGAUAUUACAUCCUUUAACACCACGCAAAAAUUUAUUAUGAUGUAAAUAAGUUUACAAGAGAAAAAUGGAUCUCACUCACCAUUUUUCUCUAACAUAUAUUUCUCUUCUGAUAAUGAUAUUUAAACUCUAUUGAUGGCUCUUUAUUUAUAAGAGAAAAUUAGAAAAUUUGAAAGUACAAAUGUUAAAUUCCUAAUAAUAAUUAGGCUCCAUAACUUAAUAUUCUUCUACUAGAGACUAAUCCAAUAUCAAUGCCUCCUCUACAGUUGCAAUAACUCUUCAAUCCUCAAGAAAGAAAUUAAACUAAAGUUGUGUGCAACUUUAGUUUCUCAAUUGGAAUAGUCAUUGUCAACAUGGUAGCCGAUUUAUAGAAUCUUCUCAAGUAUCAAGAUUUCAUCCUCCAAAAUCGAUUUGAUGAAGUGAUAGUGAACUUAUAUAUGCUUCAUCCUUGCAUAAUUAAACAUGAUUACUUGCUAAGUAAAUAGCACUCUGACGAUCACAAUAUAAUACAAAUAUUUCUUAGUUAUGACCCAAUUCUUUCAAGACAAACUACAACCAUAUCAUUAGUUCGCUAGUGUUAGUCACAACAACAUACUCUGCCAGAGCAGUGAAAAGAGAGAUUAUCUUCAGUAGUUUAGAAACCAAAUUAACUACCAUACCACCUUAAGUGUGCAUAUUAAAAGUAGCUUUUUGUUGAUGACCACGGAAGCAAUUCCAGAAUAGAAUCGUUAUAACUAUUACUCUUUUCAGCUGGCAUUAUGUGUCACAUUAAAUUUUUGGUCUAUUUUCCCAAAAGUGAAUUUCAUGCAAGUUAUUUUUGUAGUACUUGGGAUGUAGGAAUACCUAUUCUCAUCUGCGAACUUAACUUGGCUGCAAGAGGUUAAGAACAAAUAAUCGAGUUUGUGUUUUGCAAGGUAGCCAUAAUUUUUCUUUUUGUGCAUGGCAAAAUGAAAUUUAACGAUUUAAAAUUUUAUUCAAAAAUUUAUUAACCAAUCUUUUCUAUAAAACACACAGGAGUUUUCGCAAGAUUAGUCAAUUGUAUAAAAUAAAAAGCAUUUACCUUUUGCAGAGGAGUGUAUAAUGCUAACAAUAAGAAUGAAGAACCCUACAAAUGAAACACACACACACAUCUUAAGUUUAGUAAGUUUCACAAUCGAAGGUGAUAAUUUACACAAGAUUUGAACUUCACUAUUACUACUCAAACAGGCCUAAUUUUGAACACAUAAAGUGGAAAUUGAAAAAUUCCAGCACAAUAUUGGGGGGGGGGGGGGGGGGGGACUAUACAACAAGAGGUUCCAUGUAGUNNNNNNNNNNNNNNNNNNNNNNNNNNNNNNNNNNNNNNNNNNNNNNNNNNNNNNNNNNNNNNNNNNNNNNNNNNNNNNNNNNNNNNNNNNNNNNNNNNNNNNNNNNNAUUUCACUAUUGUUUAAUAGAUACCUAAAUCCCCAAAUGAAGCAACUAUAGAAAUUGAGGAUUUACCUUUCCAGACCUAUAUCAAUUCCAUAUAAAUAACCAAAGUUAGCUUUACGGAGCUUCUCUUUCAAAUUCUCAAACCAAUCUCACGGAUUAUGAGAAGACAAUGUUUAGAAAAAAAAAAAAGUAUUUAGUUCUCAUUUCAAUUCAAAAGUACCAUGAGAGACGCAUAAGAAUAGCCCAAACGGUGAUAGACCAACAACUCCAAGUCUUGAUACUCAUGGCACCCUAAGGGUGAUCUGACGAUAAUUAUAUGACCAAGGAUUGGUUCACACUGGGGAUUCUAUUAUUGGUUCGUACCAACCAAUAAGACUUCCUUAACACCCAGGUACAUAUGGAACACUAACCUUUGGAAUUCAACAAAAAUACACUAAUGUGCAGUUGACCACUAUGAACUCCUAAGUGGUAUCUACAUGCUUUAAUACAGCUCGAGGCAUGAGCACCACAAGUUGUAGACUGGUUUGGAGUGGGCCUAAAUGACAUACCAAGUAGACACUAGCAGUGCGCCACUGCUCAUUGUAGGAAUUGGGCAUCGCAUUUUGGAGAUGGUUGCUAUCUUGUGGGAGAGAAAAGAUAAUAAAAUACAAGCUUAACAUUUACUAUCCCUAUCUUUUACAUUUUUUGUUAUUUGUUGUACUAUUGAAUUCAUUAGCCAGGAAGUACAAUGGCAUAAACACUACUUGAAGAGCCUUUACCAUGCCAUCCAUUAUUUCAGGUUCACUAAGAGGUUCAUCCACCUGAAUACAAUAUCGUACUUGUUCCCAAGCUUUUGAUGUACUUUAUUACAAUGCUUUAUGCCUAGAAAAUUUACAAAAGCAAAAAGUUAGCAAUAUAUCCAACCAACAAAAGUUUCAACGAUUCACAAUAGAUUGAAGGACUUAUUUUACAAAUUCGACAUGAUUCUGAUGUCAAUAUCACAUCCAUGCCAAAUCUUAUAUAGCAUUCUACAAUCUUAUUAUCAUUCAUCGCCACAACUAUAUCAAUAAAUCAGCACCCAAUUAGAAACCACAGAAACCAAAAACUUCAACAUAAUUCUGUUGAUAUCUUUUGAUUUAUAAAUAAACAUAAAUAGAGCAAAUGAAGUGGACCUCUGCCAACUUCAUCCAAUGAUGAUGCCAUUUUUGCCCUUUCCCAUGAUCUCUGUAAUUGAGGAUUGAAAUGUAAAUAAUCAUAUAUCCAUAACAUUGUAGUCUCCACUAUUUAAAUAUCCAUUUCAUUUUUCCAAUUAUCCUUUUAGUGGACAUGAAAAUUACACACAAUUAUAUCUGACGUAAAACAAAUUGUUUGAUAAACCAAUAAGGACAGAUAAAUUCUAUGUAUAACAACAAAAAUGCAAAUGAAUAAAAUUUAUGUGAACAUGUGAUCCAAAACCUUAGGCCUUCAUGAAGUGGACACAUUUAUUUAUUUAAAUUUGAUAUUCAAAAGCCCCAUGAAUUCAUUUUAUCAUCAGCAUAUCACUUGCAAAAGUUUCAUGAAUUGGUGGCAGCAAGUAUGAACCCAGGUCUUUGUCCUAUCUCUAUCACCAUGUUAUCUAUUUCAUCUGAAUGAUCAAUGUGUAAGCAGACUACAUUCACAGUAGUGCAAUUAAAAGCCUGAAUGAUACUACAAAUUUGACAGAGAUAGCAAAGCAAAAAUAAUGUCAAUUGAGAUAUAAAUGAAGACGGACAUAAUAAAAAUACCUUGCACUGCCAUAUAUAGCAGGUUCCAACUUAAAGAGCUUUCUAAGAUUUCAAGAACCAUAAGGUAAAUCAACCACCCAACUGCACAAGUAUUAAUAAGAGCUUCUUGUAAACAUAGAUAGUAAAAUAAUAUUUAACUCUGUCAACAACACAUUACUACCUUUAAUAUCUCUAUGUACGUUGAAAAUUGAGUGCAAGUAUGAUAAACCCUGCAUUAGAUAAUAUAGAUAUAGUUUCAGCAAAAUAUAAGAAACAGCCAGAAAGAAAUAUAUCAGAGAUGUCCAUAUUGUCAAUUUUGGCAUGUCCCAACGUUAAUGACAAUUUUUUCUUAAUAUUUUUUUCUCAAAUUACCCACUGAUUCAGCUUAUUUUAUACAUCAUGGGAACAGGUAUUCUCACCUUUUGCAUUUCAGUAAAAGAAGAUUAGUAUGGAAAAGUAUGUGGUAAUUAUCAAACUCUAAAAUAAAACAUUCGUGCCAAGUCAUGAUAUAUUUUAACCUUGGAUGGUCAAGCAUUAUCUCAUGGACAAAAUCAUUCCCUAUUACCCAAUAACAAUCCCAGCAUUUUUAAGGACACAUUUAUACAAAUCUGUAGUAAAGAUAAAAAAGUUCGAUUUUGAAAUAUAACUAACCAAAAUGAUGGUACCUUCAGUGCCUCUCUGCAGAUAUAUGCUAUUUUACACUCCUCUAGAGGCUAAGGCCUUUCAUCAAGUCAGCAACACUCCUGCCCCCAAAAUAAUCCAUUACAAUAUGCCAACAAAUACAAAAUUCUCAGAUAUUUAAAUUCAUGUGAAUAACUAACAGUUGUCAUCUGAUUUAGAAACCAAACGGAGGGGGCACACAGCAUCAUGGUCUCGGUACCAUCCCAAAAAGAUAAAAAAUUAUUAUAUAAUUGAAGGCCGAUGAUCUUCUUCAUACCCAAUGCUAUUCUUCUCCUUGGUAGCUACCUAGAUAGCAAACAAUGUUAGGGUGACUACAUUGCUGCAACAUCUCAAUUUCACCACGAAUUUCUUCAUAACCAUCCUAUAAUUAUGAGAUUUCAAACUUCAUAUUCCAUCCACUAAACUUAUGUAGUAUUAUUAUAUGCAAUUAAAAAAAAGGAUUAUAAUUAGGUCCCCUUCAGCUAAUGAUAUCACUUUGAUAGCAACCAAUUCUGAAGUCCUUGUAUCUCGAGCUAUGUAGCAACAAAUUCUGAAGUCCUAAUAAAGAGAAUUCAUGGAAAAAAAGAAAUACUAAAAUUGAUUAUACUGAAAACUAAAAUAUGCCUCAUAUCAUCACCUAAGAAUCCCAAAAACAAACAAGUCAACAAAUACACCAGAAAAAUCAGUCUUCCAAAUACCAUUAACGAAACUAUCCUACGUAUUUGCUGUUUCCGCUUAAUACCAACAUCUAGGAGUCAUCGAAUUUAAAGAAAAGAAUAAAUAAAUUAACUAAGGAGCCGAAAUCGUACAGUAACGGUGACAGUUUCUUUAGCUUUACUUGGAGGGGUAGUAGCGGAUGCCGUGCUGGGGUUGUAAAACGACGUCGUGGAAGAAAUCGUAGAUGAAUGAGUGGUGGGCCGAUCGUGGUGUUUAGGUGGCACAGUAGAUGAAGAUGUCGGCGGUGGAAGUGUUUUUGGGAACGGAAAUGGGAGAUUGCAGACGGAAGUUCAAGGGAUUUUAUGCUUUUGUUCGUUGUAAUGUAGAAGAAAGAGAAAUAGAGCCGAUGGUGGUGUUUAGGUGGCACGGCCGACGAAGACGACGGUGUGUUUUUGGGGAACGGAAAGGGGAGAUUGCAGCCCAAAAGUUCAAGGUUUUUUUCCUUUUCUUUUUUGCUGCAGAGAAGAAAGGCCCUGCUUUUGGAGGAAAUACAUAAAAAUCGCUCUUCCACUCUAGUAAAAAUUGAUAUUGGC